CAAGUAUCUAUUAUGCUAUUUUUCUAUAAAGUAUUUCUUGUAAUGACUAUAUAUUUGAAGAAGGAGGGUUUCUCUUUCUAGAUUUCUUCGGCUCACUGAUGAAGACCGAAUGAUAGAAUUAGAAUGCCCUCAUCAUGCACCCCCCAAUGUUAAAGAGUAGCAGCUGAGGACGCCCAGGCAUUAGGAGCUCCCUGAUGAAAGAAUACAUUAGAGCCACCCCACCCAGCUGCUCCCAGACCCUGACCUUUAGGCUCAGUGUGAGGAGACUUGGAGUUACUAACUGAGGGAGAGAAAGAGAGCAGAGCAGCCAAGGACUGACUUUCCAGAAAGCAGGACAGGAAGUCAGCCGACAGAAAGGUAUAUAGAGCAAGUGACACCCUGGAGAGGCUAGAGGUAAGCAACCUGGAUUCCUGCUUGUUUUCACCCUUGUUGUGAGUAGGGUGCUGUUGGUUUGUUUGCACUGGAAGUAAAAAGUAGAAUUCA